AACGAACGCUGGCGGCAGGCUUAACACAUGCAAGUCGAACGCACCGCAAGGUGAGUGGCAGACGGGUGAGUAACACGUGGGGAUCUGCCCAAUGGUACGGAAUAGCUCCGGGAAACUGGAAUUAAUACCGUAUGUGCCCUUCGGGGGAAAGAGUUAUCGCUAUUGGAUGAACCCGCGUCGGAUUAGCUAGUUGGUGUGGUAAAGGCGCACCAAGGCGACGAUCCGUAGCUGGUCUGAGAGGAUGAUCAGCCACACUGGGACUGAGACACGGCCCAGACUCCUACGGGAGGCAGAAUUGGGGAAUAUUGGACAAUGGGCGCAAGCCUGAUCCAGCCAUGCCGCGUGAGUGAUGAAGGCCCUAGGGUUGUAAAGCUCUUUCGCCGACGAAGAUAAUGACGGUAGUCGGAGAAGAAGCCCCGGCUAACUUCGUGCCAGCCGCCGCAGUAAGAC
rnacentral:rRNA from 1 species